rnacentral:rRNA from 1 species
AAGAAAGUAAGUAAGGGCGCAUGGCGGAUGCCUUGGCUCUCAGAGGCGAUGAAGGACGUGAUAAGCUGCGAUAAGCUUCGGGUAGGUGCAAAUAACCUUUUAUCCGGAGAUUUCCGAAUGGGGCAACCCAGUGUUAUGAAGUAACAUUAUUCCUGCUUGCAGGAAAGCUAACCCAGUGAACUGAAACAUCUAAGUAACUGGAGGAAUAGAAAACAAUAGUGAUUCCCUUAGUAGCGGCGAGCGAAAGGGGAAUAGCCCAAAUCUCAGC